rnacentral:rRNA from 1 species
ACUUUCAACAACGGAUCUCUUGGUUCUCGCAUCGAUGAAGAACGUAGCGAAUUGCGAUAAGUAAUGUGAAUUGCAGAUUUUCGUGAAUCAUUGAAUUUUUGAACGCACAUUGCGCCCUUUGGUAUUCCAAAGGGCAUGCCUGUUUGAGCGUCAUUU